rnacentral:rRNA from 1 species
UACGUAGGUGGCAAGCGUUGUCCGGAUUUACUGGGCGUAAAGGGCGUGCAGGCGGUUUGUUAAGUUCAGGGGGAAAGCUCCCGGCUCAACUGGGAGAGGUCCUUGGAUACUGGCAGACUUGAGGAGGGUAGAGGAGAGUGGAAUUCCCGGUGUAGUGGUGAUAUGCGUAGAUAUCGGGAGGAACCCCAGUGGCGAAGGCGGCUCUCUGGGCCAUACCUGACGCUGAGGAGCGAAAUCGUGGGGAGCGAACAGG